UGAACGCUGGCGGCAGGCCUAACACAUGCAAGUCGAGCGAGAAAGGCCUUCGGGCUGAGUACAGCGGCGGACGGGUGAGUAACGCGUAGGAAUCUACCUGGUAGUGGGGGACAACAUGGGGAAACUCAUGCUAAUACCGCAUACGCCCUAUGGGGGAAAGCGGGGGACCUUCGGGCCUCGCGCUAUCAGAUGAGCCUGCGUAGGAUUAGCUUGUUGGUGAGGUAAAGGCUCACCAAGGCGACGAUCCUUAGCUGGUCUGAGAGGAUGAUCAGCCACACUGGGACUGAGACACGGCCCAGACUCCUACGGGAGGCAGCAGUGGGGAAUAUUGCGCAAUGGGCGAAAGCCUGACGCAGCCAUGCCGCGUGUGUGAAGAAGGCCUUAGGGUUGUAAAGCACUUUCAAUUGGGAAGAAAGGUUGCGUGUUAAUAGCACGUAGCUGUGACGUUACCUUUAGAAGAAGCACCGGCUAACUCC
rnacentral:rRNA from 1 species